UUNAACUCCNAACCCAAUGUGACCAUACCAAACUGUUGCCUCGGCGGGGUCACGCCCCGGGNGNGUCGCAGCCCCGGAACCAGGCGCCCGCCGGAGGGACCAACCAAACUCUUUCUGUAGUCCCCUCGCGGACGUUAUUUCUUACAGCUCUGAGCAAAAAUUCAAAAUGAAUCAAAACUUUCAACAACGGAUCUCUUGGUUCUGGCAUCGAUGAAGAACGCAGCGAAAUGCGAUAAGUAAUGUGAAUUGCAGAAUUCAGUGAAUCAUCGAAUCUUUGAACGCACAUUGCGCCCGCCAGUAUUCUGGCGGGCAUGCCUGUCCGAGCGUCAUUUCAACCCUCGAACCCCUCCGGGGGUCCGGCGUUGGGGAUCGGGAACCCCUAAGACGGGAUCCCGGCCCCGAAAUACAGUGGCGGUCUCGCCGCAGCCUCUCAUGCGCAGUAGUUUGCACAACUCGCACCGGGAGCGCGGCGCGUCCACGUCCGUAAAACACCCAACUUCUGAAAUGUUGACCUCGGAUCAGGUAGGAAUACCCGCUGAACUUAAGCAUA
rnacentral:rRNA from 1 species